rnacentral:rRNA from 1 species
CCAGACUCCUACGGGAGGCAGCAGUAGGGAAUCUUCCGCAAUGGGCGAAAGCCUGACGGAGCAACGCCGCGUGAGUGAAGAAGGAUUUCGGUUCGUAAAGCUCUGUUGUUAGGGAAGAAUGGAUAUGUAGUAACUAUACAUGUAAGAGACGGUACCUAACCAGAAAGCCACGGCUAACUACGUGCCAGCAGCCGCGGUAAUACGUAGGUGGCAAGCGUUGUCCGGAAUUAUUGGGCGUAAAGCGCGCGCAGGUGGUUUAAUAAGUCUGAUGUGAAAGCCCACGGCUCAACCGUGGAGGGUCAUUGGAAACUGUUAAACUUGAGUGCAGGAGAGAAAAGUGGAAUUCCUAGUGUAGCGGUGAAAUGCGUAGAGAUUAGGAGGAACACCAGUGGCGAAGGCGGCUUUUUGGCCUGUAACUGACACUGAGGCGCGAAAGCGUGGGGAGCAAACAGGAUUAGAUACCCUGGUAGUCCACGCCGUAAACGAUGAGUGCUAAGUGUUGGUCUCAUAAGAGAUCAGUGCUGCAGCUAACGCAUUAAGCACUCCGCCUGGGGAGUACGACCGCAAGGUUGAAACUCAAAGGAAUUGACGGGGGCCCGCACAAG